rnacentral:rRNA from 1 species
AGCGCAGGCGGCUUGGUAAGUCUAAAGUGAAAUUCCAGGGCUCAACCCUGGACGUGCUUUGGAUACUGCCUGGCUUGAGUACGUGAGAGGAGAUUGGAAUUCCAGGUGUAGCGGUGAAAUGCGUAGAUAUCUGGAGGAACACCGGUGGCGAAAGCGGAUCUCUGGCACGUUACUGACGCUGAGGCUCGAAAGCGUGGGGAGCAAACGGGAUUAGAUACCCCGGUAGUCCACGCCGUAAACGUUGUGCGCUAGGUGUAGGAGGUAUCGACCCCUUCUGUGCCGCAGCUAACGCAUUAAGCGCACCGCCUGGGGAGUACGGUCGCAAGACUGAA